rnacentral:sRNA from 1 species
GCAGGUGAAUGCAACGUCAAGCGAUGGGCGUUGCGCUCCAUAAUUGUUUUAUUUACUUAUUUUUAGAAUUAUUGCAUAGCACAUUUAAUUCAAUACGAUGCCGGUUUAAUCACCGGCAUUU